AUAUGUUUUCUAAAUAAUCUGUUACAUAAACCCAACGCCUCAAGAAUGAUGAUUAUGUCAAGAUACCAAAGAAAGAAAUGUAGAUGACUUUUAUUAUUAAACAAUCCUUGGUGACAGCUGGCCAGGAGACAAGGUCUUCACCAUGCCUACAAGCAGACUGCUACCUAUGCACAGAGGGAACAGAGCAAAACGGGAGCCUAUUGCUCAGUGCUACAGAAAUGAACUUCUCUUGGAACCAUAGACUCACUCUACUGUCUGAGGCGGACAAUGGAGGAGGCCCAAGGAUGUGCCACCUGAUUCAGUUGCAUGCAUCAACCAGCUGAUAAUACAAGCAUACUCUAAGCAACCAUAUGAAUAUCAGAGCUCAUACCUGACUGGAGGUACCCAAUGCAAGAUGCCAUCUCUCAUAUCUACUGUACAAGUCAUGGUACAGCCCAGUGGGCACACAGACACUGCAGUGCGUUGAUGGGGAGUGGGACAGUUCCUAUCCUACCUGUCAGUUCAUUCAAGAAACCCCCAAACCUGCUGAAGAGAGUGCACUUGAGAAAGCAAUUUUUGCCUUUCAGGAGAGUAAGGACCUUUGCAGUGCUACAGAGAAUGUUGUGAGAAGACUAAAGGAAGGUGGGCUAAUGAUGGAAGAACUUACAUAUUCCCUGGAGAUGAAGAAAACUAAGUUGAAGGCUGAUAUUUUACUGAAAGAUAGAAUGGUCACUGACAUUCCACCUAUGAAUAAACUGCUUCUAAUGGUGCUUGC